AUAUUCUGUAAGAAAUGUUUUGAUUCUGAAGUACUUCCAGACAUAUAAGAAAGAAGUUCAUCUGGUGGUUGUUGUAAAGGUGGCAGUGCAACUUUCCCACUCUUACAGCACAACCCAGGUGGUUCCAUUUUAAAUUUCUUGGCAUGACAGUAACUACAUAUUUGGUCCAUUUGUCCAAUAAUAACAUUGGAAUAUUGAUCAUAGUCCUUAUGAGGAUCAUAGUGAAAACCUUCAAGCAAGAAAUUUGAAUGCUUUUCUUUCCUUGUUGCAGUGACUUUUUCCCUGAUUGCUUGAAGUCGGGCAUUGUGCUGUUCUGGAGUGUCUGUUGCUCUUGAUGUCGAGGCUCUUUCUUGCAUUGCUCCAAGUCUAGCCUGACGGUAUUCUGGGGUCUCUGCUGUGGUGGAUGCCCUGGCCUUUUCUCUCUUCUGUUGAAGCCUGGCCUGACGGUGUUGUGGAGUCUCUGCUGUUGUGCAUGCCCUGGCCUUUUCUCUCUUCUGUUGAAGCCUGGCCUGGCGGUGUUGUGGAGUCUCUGUUGGUCUUGUAAUAGAGGCUCUUUCUUUCAUUGCUGCAAGUCUGGCCUGACGUUGUUCUGGAGUCUCAACUGCCCUGGAUGCCCUGGCCUUUUCUCUCUUUUGUUGAAGCCUGGCCUGUAGCUGUUCUGGAGUCUUUGUUGGUCUUGACUUAGUGGCUCUUUCUUGCAUUUCUCCAAGUCUGGUGUGAUGAUGUUGUGGAGUCUCUGCAAUCCUUGAUGCAUUAGCUGUUUCCUGGGUAUUUUCAAGUCGGCAAUCAGUGGACUCACUUGCUUGCUGGAAUUUUUCCUUUUUUGGUUUUGGAGGGAUUUUUCCUAUGGUAGAUUUUCUUUUUUGAGACAUUUUGAAGCUACCACACCUGAUUAAAAAAAAUAGAAACAAAGGGGAUUAAAUUUUUUUGGAUUUGAGGUUCAGAGAAUAACUUAUAACAAUGUACACUACUGAAAAUGUCCCCAAUAAUUAUUAUCUUUGUUGCCUUGAAGAAAGCAGUACCUUACCUUGGUGAGGGACACUGCUGUUCCAAAACGUUCCUUUUUGGAACUAUGUUGAAGGAGGAGGGUGAGGAGUUGUACCGUGUAACUGGUACAGCUCGUAAGUCCUGAAAGGUUUAAGCGAAAGGGUCAAUGGGGGCCAGGGGGGUAGGGGAGGUUGAACUUUUCAUAAAUACACACAGUAUGCCUGUAUACACACAGAGACAUUGAAAGGAAAUAUCUGACAUAUAGCCACCAUAUGUUGGAAAUUUCCAUAUAUGUGUGUAUAUUCAUUCAUAUUCUUUCCUUUUCUUUAUCUCUCACAGACAUACCAUCCGUUUGAUAUUUUUAAUGAGAAGAAAUGGAAAGGGUUCAAGGCAGGAAGAAUAGUCUGUCAAACCCCAUCUUAUUGUUUAAAAGAAAAAAGUUAAAAAGACACUAAUUAUUUUCUGUUUUAUCUUUUGAAUAAAGUAGGACCUUACCUUUUGUAGGGACAGUGGUGUUUCCUAAUGAUUCUAGAAGAAGCCCUCUUCUUUGGAGCAAUGUUGAACUGGGAAGACUGCAGGGUGUUGGGAUAGCUUGUAAGACCUGAAAGUGUUCAGCAGAAGAUCCAAAGGAGGUUGGUGGUAGUUAGAACUGUUCAUACACAUACACACACACACACACACACAGACUAAUAUGGAGGGGGGAUGAAAAGGAAUCAGACGGGAAGAAACAGUCUGUUAAACCCCAUCUUGUUGUUUAGAAGAAAACAUUAAAAACAUAAUAAUCAUUUUAGGCUUUUGUUUUUUGAAUAAAGUAGGACCUUACCUUGUGUAGGGACAGUACUGUGUCCAAAUUAUCCUGGAAGAAGCUGGCUGUUUUGUGGUCUAACAGGGUCAGGACAGCUUGUAAUAUCUGAAAGAGUUUAGCAGAAGGGCCAAAGGGGCCGGGUGGAAGUUAGAACUCUUCAUAAACACACACACACACACAUAUAGAGUGCCUAAUAUGGAGGAGGGGAAUGAGAAGUCAGACGGGGAGAAGUAGUCUGUCAAACCCCACCUUGUUAAGAAGGCAGCAUUAAAAAUAUAAUAAUUAUGUUAGCCUUUGUCAUAGAAUCAUAGAAUAGUAGAGUUGGAAGAGACCUCAUGGGCCAUCCAGUCCAACCCCCUGCCAAGAAGCAGGAAAUCGCAUUCAAAGCACCCCCAACAGAUGGCCAUCCAGCCUCUUUUUUUGAAUAAAGAAGGCGCUUACCUUGUGUAGGUACAGUGCUACGUCCAAAUUAUCCUGGAAGAGGUCAGCUCCUUUAGAACAACGUUGAACUGGGAAGAGGGCGGACUGGUGUGCGGCCUAACAGUCUCGGGAUAGCUUGCAAGACCUGAAGUGUUCAUAAGCAUGAAAAGGUAUAAUUAAAAAAUAUAAUAACAAUGUUCUCUUUGGUCUGUUGUGAAAAGUAGUGUCUUACCUUAUAGAAGGAGAGUGCAGUUUCCCAAUGACCCAGGCGAAAGCUACCUUCUUUGGAGCAAUGUUGAGGGAAG
rnacentral:lncRNA from 1 species